rnacentral:rRNA from 1 species
GCGCGAAAACUUUACAAUGCUGGCAACAGCGAUAAGGGAACCUCGAGUGCCAGGUUACAAAUCUGGCUGUCGAGAUGCCUAAACAGCAUUUCAUAGCAAGGGCCGGGCAAGACCGGUGCCAGCCGCCGCGGUAACACCGGCGGCUCGAGUGGUAACCGUUAUUAUUGGGUCUAAAGGGUCUGUAGCCGGCCGGAUAAGUCUCUUGAGAAAUCUGGCAGCUUAACUGUCAGGCUUUCAGGAGAUACUGUCUGGCUCGAGGCCGGGAGAGGUGAGAGGUACUUCAGGGGUAGGGGGGAAAUCUUGUAAGCCUUGAAGGACCACCAGUGGCGAAGGCGUCUCACCAGAACGGACCUGACGGCAAGGGACGAAAGCUAGGGGGACGAACC